rnacentral:rRNA from 1 species
UAAGGAAUAUUCCGCAAUGGGCGAAAGCCUGACGGAGCGACGCCGCGUGAAGGAGGAAGCCCUUCGGGGUGUAAACUUCUUUUCUUUGGGAUGACACGUCCCCUCAUACGGGACUAGGACAGUACCAGAGGAAUAAGCCUCGGCUAACUACGUGCCAGCAGCCGCGGUAAUACGUAGGAGGCGAGCGUUGUCCGGAUUUACUGGGCGUAAAGCGCGCGCAGGCGGCACACUAAGUACGAUGUGAAAUCUCCCUGCUCAACGGGGAGGGAGCAUAGUAAACUGGUGAGCUAGAGGACGGUAGAGGGGGGUGGAAUUGCUGGUGUAGCGGUGAAAUGCGUAGAGAUCAGCAGGAACACCCGUGGCGAAGGCGGCCCCCUGGGCCGAACCUGACGCUGAGGCGCGAAGGCUAGGGGAGCGAACGGGAUUAGAUACCCCCGUAGUCC